UACGUAGGGACCAAGCGUUGUUCGGAUUUACUGGGCGUAAAGGGCGCGUAGGCGGCUUAACAAGUCACUUGUGAAAUCUCCGGGCUUAACUCGGAACGGCCAAGUGAAACUGUCAAGCUAGAGUGCAGAAGGGGCAAUCGGAAUUCUUGGUGUAGCGGUGAAAUGCGUAGAUAUCAAGAGGAACACCGGUGGCGAAGGCGGGUCUCUGGGCCGGAACUGACGCUGAGGAGCGAAAGCGUGGGGAGCGAACAGG
rnacentral:rRNA from 1 species